CUCAGGCUAACACUCAGUCCACUGAGCCACACCAGCCAGAACAAUAUUUUAUUUUUUUAAAUGUUGGUAACUGUGGACCAAAUAAGACCUGCCAGCAAUGACCUGAAAAAGACAUUUCUAAAGUUGCUAUAUUUCCCUAGUGACAGUAACCUGAAUUUGGGCAAAAUUCUUGAAGUCUCUAUCUCACAGGGUGAGGAGGUAUGCACUCUCGCAGGAGGCAAGCUCUGCAGUUCUACGUCAGCGAGGCAGCUGAAGGUACAGCUCUGGCAGGGGCAGCCUGCUGUCUGGGGCUGGGCUGCGAAGGAGUUAGGUAAGUUCCUGGACGGCAGCCCUACAAAUCAUCAAGCGAAGUUAAGGGUAAUCCCUGCAUAUUUAUCCCCAACUUUCUUUCACAAAAUAUGCUCAGACACCACCACGAAGCACUACUGAAUCUUAAUUAACAGAGUAUCUCAGACACUUUCAGAUUCUGCUUGAAGCGAUGAGUCCAAGCUGAGCCUAACAGAGGUUAUCAUCACGGGAGAGGGCAGCCCCACCGGAAGCAGCCGGCAGUGUGGACUGUCCCCAGCUUUAUAACAGAGUGGUGGGGAUAAACUAGCACUAGUACCAUCGUAUCUUAAUAAAUAAUAUCUUUGAAACAUUUAAGACAAUUUACACAUUUUUGAAAAAUCAGUUAAUCCUUGCAUUCUCUAGCUUUAAGAUUAGGAGCUAUUACAUGUAGUCGACUCUACUUUAUAAAACGAAAAACUGGGGCAGUCUUAAAGGAACCAGAAGUACAACCUAUACACACUGUUUUUCCCAGAAAAAGAUUUCCUUCUUUUAUGUGAAAGGAAUACAUUUAUAUUAUCAAUAGAGAACAGAACGUGAAACAAGAGAACUGCAAAACAUCCUCCCCAAGAUGUCCCCCGAGAGGUAAUGCUCCCUCUAGAUAUAGUUCUAGUCCUUUAAGAAAAGUUAAGACUCUUACCCUAAAUCAAUCUUUCUAGACUAGAAUCUCAAAAAGUAUCCUGGACUGGGAGCCAGGAGACCUGAACUUUAUUCACACCCUGAUGUCCACUAUUUCUCUGAUUUUGGAUGAGUAACCUAACACCUCUGGUGAUAAAUCUAUAAAAUACACUAUAAGUUGUCAAUUACUUUACAGUAUUGUUACAGUGUUUGCUACAUAAAGGUUAUAAGGACACAGUCCCUAUCCCUAGAGUUCGCCUGUUGAAGCAGGCACAUUAACACUCUAAUAACUUACUAUGUGAUAAGCUGUAUACACCAAAUGAUAGUGUGGCACUGACCUACGAAAAAUCACAAUGGGCGUAAAGAGAGGAAGUCAUUAAUUCCAUUAUUGAGUAAAAUUUGGAAGACAGAGAAAAUUUUAAAUGAGGUUUUAGUUUUCAGCAGGACUUUGAAAGAAAAAAAGAUGUUCCCUUGACCUCCAGCAUCUCUGCCAGGUAUUUGAACUGAGACAUUGAAUCAAAAUGUGAAUCCCAGUUAUGGAAGUCUCAUAACACUGCUAUUUACCACUAUCCUUUAACGAGGUGACCUCUGGACAGAAGCCAACAUGGUAUUUUUUAACAGAGAGCACCUGGUUUGAAAUUCUGGUUUUACUGAGUGACCCUGGGCAAGGCACAUGGCCUCUCCAUGCUUCACCUCUUUUCUCUGUAAAAUAGAAAUAAAACAGUACCUACUGCACAGGGUUAUUCUGAAAGUUAGAUGAGUUAAUAUGUAUGAAUCCUUCAGAAACAUAUUUUUUUUAAAGUUAAGGAUGCUGUCUCCUAAAAGAAAAUGCAUCCAAUUUUCAUGGUAAAACACAAAACCCUUUAAAAAUUUCAUUCAUGAAUUCAGGAUUUUUCUUUGUUAAAGUCAGUAUUUUGAGAAGAAAAACCUCCUGACAUUAUUGAUCAAUUUUUAACAGAAAGGAGGUACAUCUUUCAGCCUUAAUUUAAGGGAGGGUAGAUGCAACCCACUUAUUAAUAUAUUUAUUGUUUCUAUUUUGUCCUGGGCCCUGUCUUGGCUUUGGAGAGGUCAAACGUGAAUGUAAACAAUAAAAGGGAAGGAUGGGAGAAGAGACAAAAGCUGGCAGAGAACUAUCCAUUCCUGAGUAAUAUGCUACAAAAUGCACAGACUUAACUAACAAAUGAGCAUCUUUCCCCACUCGGUUAGGAGAUGGCGUCGCUGAGGCCAUGACUAGACGCAGAGGCACAGGAACGUAACAAAACUGGUCAUCAUAAGCUAAGGGUUCAGGGAAAAGAGUGCAGGCAGAAAGGAACAUAAAAAUGACUCUGUACAUGUAAUUAUCUUUUCAGGAAAAACUGAAGUUACAUAAUACUAAUACUAGCAUCAUAUAAAUUUGUUUAGAAUUUUGACAAAUGAACUGUGUACCUCAGCCAGAACGUUCCUCCCCAAAUAUCAUCACGACUUGCCCCUUCAUUUCAACUAGGCCUCCCACCCAAAUGUGCCCUCAUCCUGAGGUGUCCUGGGUGGCUCUACAUAACACAGCGCCCGCAUACUGCCUUCACCAUCUCCUCGCCUGGCUUCAUUUUUCCUCUGGAUCAUUCAUACCUGCCUGAAAUAUUACAUAUAAAUGUAUUACUGACCUCCCUCUACGCUAAAAUGGAACCUCCAAGGAUGGACUUUGUUUGGUUUGUGGCUGUGUCCAGAGAGCAGAUUAAAACAUG